AAAGCUGGCAAAAAGAAUAGAAAAAAGCUUGAGUACAAUCAUUGUUCCGGAUCUCGAUCAUUUGUUGCAACAAUGACUAUACCGAAUUCUAUAAGAAAACUCAUACCAAGAAGAACAAAGAGUGGAUUGAUCCUAUUUG